GGUUAAGCGACUAAGCGUACACGGUGGAUGCCCUGGCAGUCAGAGGCGAUGAAGGACGUGCUAAUCUGCGAUAAGCGUCGGUAAGGUGAUAUGAACCGUUAUAACCGGCGAUUUCCGAAUGGGGAAACCCAGUGUGUUUCGACACACUAUCAUUAACUGAAUCCAUAGGUUAAUGAGGCGAACCGGGGGAACUGAAACAUCUAAGUACCCCGAGGAAAAGAAAUCAACCGAGAUUCCCCCAGUAGCGGCGAGCGAACGGGGAGGAGCCCAGAGCCUGAAUCAGUGUGUGUGUUAGUGGAAGCGUCUGGAAAGGCGCGCGAUACAGGGUGACAGCCCCGUACACAAAAAUGCACAUGCUGUGAGCUCGAUGAGUAGGGCGGGACACGUGGUAUCCUGUCUGAAUAUGGGGGGACCAUCCUCCAAGGCUAAAUACUCCUGACUGACCGAUAGUGAACCAGUACCGUGAGGGAAAGGCGAAAAGAACCCCGGCGAGGGGAGUGAAAAAGAACCUGAAACCGUGUACGUACAAGCAGUGGGAGCACGCUUAGGCGUGUGACUGCGUACCUUUUGUAUAAUGGGUCAGCGACUUAUAUUCUGUAGCAAGGUUAACCGAAUAGGGGAGCCGAAGGGAAACCGAGUCUUAACUGGGCGUUAAGUUGCAGGGUAUAGACCCGAAACCCGGUGAUCUAGCCAUGGGCAGGUUGAAGGUUGGGUAACACUAACUGGAGGACCGAACCGACUAAUGUUGAAAAAUUAGCGGAUGACUUGUGGCUGGGGGUGAAAGGCCAAUCAAACCGGGAGAUAGCUGGUUCUCCCCGAAAGCUAUUUAGGUAGCGCCUCGUGAAUUCAUCUCCGGGGGUAGAGCACUGUUUCGGCAAGGGGGUCAUCCCGACUUACCAACCCGAUGCAAACUGCGAAUACCGGAGAAUGUUAUCACGGGAGACACACGGCGGGUGCUAACGUCCGUCGUGAAGAGGGAAACAACCCAGACCGCCAGCUAAGGUCCCAAAGUCAUGGUUAAGUGGGAAACGAUGUGGGAAGGCCCAGACAGCCAGGAUGUUGGCUUAGAAGCAGCCAUCAUUUAAAGAAAGCGUAAUAGCUCACUGGUCGAGUCGGCCUGCGCGGAAGAUGUAACGGGGCUAAACCAUGCACCGAAGCUGCGGCAGCGACGCUUAUGCGUUGUUGGGUAGGGGAGCGUUCUGUAAGCCUGCGAAGGUGUGCUGUGAGGCAUGCUGGAGGUAUCAGAAGUGCGAAUGCUGACAUAAGUAACGAUAAAGCGGGUGAAAAGCCCGCUCGCCGGAAGACCAAGGGUUCCUGUCCAACGUUAAUCGGGGCAGGGUGAGUCGACCCCUAAGGCGAGGCCGAAAGGCGUAGUCGAUGGGAAACAGGUUAAUAUUCCUGUACUUGGUGUUACUGCGAAGGGGGGACGGAGAAGGCUAUGUUGGCCGGGCGACGGUUGUCCCGGUUUAAGCGUGUAGGCUGGUUUUCCAGGCAAAUCCGGAAAAUCAAGGCUGAGGCGUGAUGACGAGGCACUACGGUGCUGAAGCAACAAAUGCCCUGCUUCCAGGAAAAGCCUCUAAGCAUCAGGUAACAUCAAAUCGUACCCCAAACCGACACAGGUGGUCAGGUAGAGAAUACCAAGGCGCUUGAGAGAACUCGGGUGAAGGAACUAGGCAAAAUGGUGCCGUAACUUCGGGAGAAGGCACGCUGAUAUGUAGGUGAAGUCCCUCGCGGAUGGAGCUGAAAUCAGUCGAAGAUACCAGCUGGCUGCAACUGUUUAUUAAAAACACAGCACUGUGCAAACACGAAAGUGGACGUAUACGGUGUGACGCCUGCCCGGUGCCGGAAGGUUAAUUGAUGGGGUCAGCGCAAGCGAAGCUCUUGAUCGAAGCCCCGGUAAACGGCGGCCGUAACUAUAACGGUCCUAAGGUAGCGAAAUUCCUUGUCGGGUAAGUUCCGACCUGCACGAAUGGCGUAAUGAUGGCCAGGCUGUCUCCACCCGAGACUCAGUGAAAUUGAACUCGCUGUGAAGAUGCAGUGUACCCGCGGCAAGACGGAAAGACCCCGUGAACCUUUACUAUAGCUUGACACUGAACAUUGAGCCUUGAUGUGUAGGAUAGGUGGGAGGCUUUGAAGUGUGGACGCCAGUCUGCAUGGAGCCGACCUUGAAAUACCACCCUUUAAUGUUUGAUGUUCUAACGUGGACCCGUGAUCCGGGUUGCGGACAGUGUCUGGUGGGUAGUUUGACUGGGGCGGUCUCCUCCUAAAGAGUAACGGAGGAGCACGAAGGUUGGCUAAUCCUGGUCGGACAUCAGGAGGUUAGUGCAAUGGCAUAAGCCAGCUUGACUGCGAGCGUGACGGCGCGAGCAGGUGCGAAAGCAGGUCAUAGUGAUCCGGUGGUUCUGAAUGGAAGGGCCAUCGCUCAACGGAUAAAAGGUACUCCGGGGAUAACAGGCUGAUACCGCCCAAGAGUUCAUAUCGACGGCGGUGUUUGGCACCUCGAUGUCGGCUCAUCACAUCCUGGGGCUGAAGUAGGUCCCAAGGGUAUGGCUGUUCGCCAUUUAAAGUGGUACGCGAGCUGGGUUUAGAACGUCGUGAGACAGUUCGGUCCCUAUCUGCCGUGGGCGCUGGAGAACUGAGGGGGGCUGCUCCUAGUACGAGAGGACCGGAGUGGACGCAUCACUGGUGUUCGGGUUGUCAUGCCAAUGGCACUGCCCGGUAGCUAAAUGCGGAAGAGAUAAGUGCUGAAAGCAUCUAAGCACGAAACUUGCCCCGAGAUGAGUUCUCCCUGACUCCUUGAGAGUCCUGAAGGAACGUUGAAGACGACGACGUUGAUAGGCCGGGUGUGUAAGCGCAGCGAUGCGUUGAGCUAACCGGUACUAAUGAACCGUGAGGCUUAACCUU
rnacentral:rRNA from 1 species